GUGAGGAAUAUUGCGCAAUGGCCGAAAGGCUGACGCAGCGACGCCGCGUGAGGGAUGAAGUCCGUUAGGAUGUAAACCUCUUUUGCAGGGGAUGAAUGUCUCGCUAUACGCGGGAUUGACCGUACCCUGCGAAUAAGGAUCGGCUAACUACGUGCCAGCAGCCGCGGUAAUACGUAGGAUCCGAGCGUUGUCCGGAAUUACUGGGUGUAAAGGGCGUGUAGGUGGAUUCCUAAGUCGGUGGUGAAAUCCCGCAGCUUAACUGCGGAAUUGCCUUCGAUACUGGGGAUCUUGAGUACGGCAGAGGGAGAUGGAAUUCAUGGUGUAGCGGUGAAAUGUGUAGAUAUCAUGAAGAACACCGGUAGCGAAGGCGGUCUCCUGGUCCGUAACUGACACUGAUGCGCGAAAGCGUGGGGAGCGAACAGGAUUAGAAACCCCUGUAGUCC
rnacentral:rRNA from 1 species